AUUAGAAGCAAGUAGCCAAUGUUAAAGUUGUUGUAUGAUUAUUAUUAUCCAUUUAACUGUUUUAAAAUGAUUUUUUUACUCCGUAUUAAACUGGGCCAUUUAGCUAUUAUAGUAGCCCAUUUAUAUGAAUUGAAUAAGUGUGCAUUAGGGUUUUGUCUUUUGCUGGUUUAGGAAAAUCUUAGUGGUAUAUAUUGGCAUAAAAGAGAAUUGUGUGGGAGUCCCUCUGUUGACUACACCGAAACCUAGGAUCGAUUAUCUGUUCUUUCAAGUUGGAGAAUCAAACUUGUUCGUGAUACUUGGGAUCCGGGUGUAGAGCGAGACAUCAAGAAUUUUUGGGGCGUUACAGUGGCAGACAGGACGAGAAAUGGUUCUCGCGGUCUCGUAUCCAGAUUUGACUUAGUAAUUGUCUGACUUUGUCAUGGUCGAACUGUAUCCAUCACUCGAGACAUUACGGCUCGGUUUUAUCCCUAGUAUAAGGGUAAUCUCUUCUCAGGGUAACAAUUCCCAAAGACGGUCCAUUUUUCACUGCUUCAUCUCAAAGUCGAUCAAAGUAUUGACAUAGACCAAUGGGUCUCUCUCCAUAGUAAGUCCUUCGGGGGUGAGCCGGGGAAUCUGGAAUCCAAGGAUCGGUCCAAAUGCACGUUCCAAACCCAGAGACAAUAAUCUUGCGGAUUCCAUAUUUAAAAACGUCUUUGGCGGCCUUUAUUUUAUUUUUUUCUUUGGCGGCCUUUAUUUUAUUUUUGUCAUACGACGGCCUGUUAGAGACAGUGAUCAUAUUGCCUAUGUAGUUUGCUUUUUCUUUA